rnacentral:rRNA from 1 species
AGAGUUUGAUCCUGGCUCAGAGCGAACGCUGGCGGCAGGCCUAACACAUGCAAGUCGAGCGCCCCGCAAGGGGAGCGGCAGACGGGAGAGUAACACGUGGGAACGUACCCUUCGGUUCGGAACAACCCAGGGAAACUUGGGCUAAUACCGGAUACGUCCGUAAGGAGAAAGAUUUAUCGCUGAAGGAUCGGCCCGCGUCUGAUUAGCUUGUUGGUGAGGUAACGGCUCACCAAGGCUACGAUCAGUAGCUGGUCUGAGAGGAUGAUCAGCCUCACUGGGACUGAGACACGGCCCAGACUCCUACGGGAGGCAGCAGUGGGGAAUAUUGGACAAUGGGCGCAAGCCUGAUCCAGCCAUGCCGCGUGGAUGAUGAAGGCCCUAGGGUUGUAAAGUCCUUCG